rnacentral:rRNA from 1 species
GGGCUAAUACCCGAUAGGUGAGGAGGCCUGGAAUGGUUCCUAGUCGAAAAGGCGUUGAAACCAUGCUUUUCGACGUCGCCUAAGGAUGGGGCCGCGCCCGAUCAGGUUGUUGGUAGGGUAACGGCUCACCAAGCCUAUAACCGGUACGGGCCGUGAGAGCGGGAGCCCGGAGAUGGGCACUGAGACAAGGGCCCAGGCCCUACGGGGCGCAGCAGUCGCGAAAACUCCGCAAUGCGCGAAAGCGUGACGGGGCUACCCCGAGUGCCGUCCGCUGAGGAUGGCUUUUCCCCGGUGUAAUGAGCCGGGGGAAUAAGGAGAGGGCAAGUCUGGUGUCAGCCGCCGCGGUAAUACCAGCUCUCCGAGUGGUAGGGAUGAUUAUUGGGCUUAAAGCGUCCGUAGCCGGCUUAGCAAGUCUCCUGUUAAAUUCAGCGACCUAAUCGUUGAGCCGCGGGAGAAACUACUAGGCUAGGAGGCGGGAGAGGCCGACGGUAUUCUCGGGGUAGGGGUGAAAUCCUAUAAUCCCGGGAGGACCACCAGUGGCGAAGGCUGUCGGCUAGAACGCGCUCGACGGUGAGGGACGAAAGCUGGGGGAGCGAACCGGAUUAGAUACCCGGGUAGUCCCAGCUGUAAACGAUGCGGGCUAGG